rnacentral:rRNA from 1 species
GAUGAACGCUGGCGGCGUGCCUAAUACAUGCAAGUCGAGCGAACAGACGAGGAGCUUGCUCCUCUGACGUUAGCGGCGGACGGGUGAGUAACACGUGGAUAACCUACCAAUAAGACUGGGAUAACUUCGGGAAACCGGAGCUAAUACCGGAUAAUAUAUUGAACCGCAUGGUUCAAUAGUGAAAGACGGUUUUGCUGUCACUUAUAGAUGGAUCCGCGCCGCAUUAGCUAGUUGGUAAGGUGACGGCUUACCAAGGCGACGAUGCGUAGCCGACCUGAGAGGGUGAUCGGCCACACUGGAACUGAGACACGGUCCAGACUCCUACGGGAGGCAGCAGUAGGGAAUCUUCCGCAAUGGGCGAAAGCCUGACGGAGCAACGCCGCGUGAGUGAUGAAGGUCUUCGGAUCGUAAAACUCUGUUAUUAGGGAAGAACAAAUGUGUAAGUAACUAUGCACGUCUUGACGGUACCUAAUCAGAAAGCCACGGCUAACUACGUG